UGGGAAGGGCCUUCACACAGAGGCCCGCCCCCAUCUCGCCCCUCCUCGCGGUGCUCCCGACCGCGCAGAGGUCUCUGGGAAAUGUAGUUUUCUUCUGCCUGGAGCUCUGCGCGGGGCGACGCAGCUGGGCUGCAACCCGCUCCUCCAGGGACGGGUAGUGUGACGUUUGGGGUCAGAACGCACCACUUUCGGGCACCCCCACUUAAGAUUGCUCAACUGCUUUGAGCUCAGAAAGCAAGGUGUAAAGGUGGGGGAAAAGCACUUUCGUCUCAGAAUUACAGCUACUGGUAUGGAAAAGCUGGGGCCCUUCGCUGGUGUGAGUCCUAAGGAUGUCUAAAUGGAACGUGCAUCUGCUACAGGCUCGCACUUUCCUUUAUUGCGCUUCCCAGACUUCCUGCUGUUGUAAGCAACCACUACAGAUUUCUCAGAAGUACUGUGGCAAAUAAAAAUGAUUGAGAAUCAUUAUACAUUUUCUAUUCUACUAGAGAGACAGUUUAAAAUAAAAUAGAAUGCUAAGACCACCAUGCAGUGGAAAAGCUCCAUCUACCAGAAGAUGAGAAGCCAUGUGGAGAACUAAGACUUCCCAGCCAAUAGCCAGCACCAACUGCCAGACACGUAAGUGAGGCCAUCUUGAACCCUCCAACCCUAGAUGUAUUCACGGUUCUCCAGAGAAACAGAACCAAUAAGAUGUGUGUGUGUGUGUGUGUGUGUGUUUAUAAAGAUAUUUAUUUUAAGGACUUGACUCACUUGAUUAUAGAGCUUCCAAGUCCAAAAUCUGCAGGGUGGGUUGGCAGGCUGGAGGCCAGGGAAAAGGUGAUGCUACAGUUCAAGUCUGAGAGCCAUCUACUGGCAAAAUUCCUUCUUGCUCAUGGAAGGUCAGUCUUUUGUUCUAUUCAGGCCUUCAGUUGAUUGGAUAAGGCCUACUCACAUUAUGGAGGGCAAUCUGCGUUAUUCAAAGUCCCCUGAUUUGUUACUCAGAGGUGAGAAAAAUCAUGGUGUACUAAAGUCACCACAAAAACUUCUGUAGAUCAUAUGGAGAAGCAGGAGAGAUGAAGCUGGAGAGCAAAGCAGCAAAUCAGCAAUUAAAAAAGAUGUUUGGAGUUGUUGAGUUUGGAGAUGAAAAGUGACAAGAUGAAUUCUGGAUUUUAGACAAAGCAAUCCAACGUGUGGAUGGAGAGGGAUUUGAGAGGAGAAAUCAGCUGUUGUCAGUAAGAGUAUUUAAAUUAGGAUACUGGUAACGGGGAUGGAGAGACACACGAUUAUACAUGGGAAGUGAGAGCAGAAAGAAUUAGGAUUAUUUCUUGAUUUUUUUUUUUUUUUUUU
rnacentral:lncRNA from 1 species